AGGUAACGGCCCACCAAGGCGACGAUCGGUAGCCGGACUGAGAGGUUGAACGGCCACAUUGGGACUGAGACACGGCCCAGACUCCUACGGGAGGCAGCAGUGGGGAAUAUUGCACAAUGGGGGAAACCCUGAUGCAGCGACGCCGCGUGGAGGAAGAAGGUCUUCGGAUUGUAAACUCCUGUUGUUGAGGAAGAUAAUGACGGUACUCAACAAGGAAGUGACGGCUAACUACGUGCCAGCAGCCGCGGUAAAACGUAGGUCACAAGCGUUGUCCGGAAUUACUGGGUGUAAAGGGAGCGCAGGCGGGAAGACAAGUUGGAAGUGAAAUCCAUGGGCUUAACCCAUGAACUGCUUUCAAAACUGUUUUUCUUGAGUAGUGCAGAGGUAGGCGGAAUUCCCGGUGUAGCGGUGGAAUGCGUAGAUAUCGGGAGGAACACCAGUGGCGAAGGCGGCCUACUGGGCACCAACUGACGCUGAGGCUCGAAAGUGUGGGUAGCAAACAGGAUUAGAUACCCUGGUAGUCCACACCGUAAACGAUGAUUACUAGGUGUUGGAGGAUUGACCCCUUCAGUGCCGCAGUUAACACAAUAAGUAAUCCACCUGGGGAGUACGACCGCAAGGUUGAAACUCAAAGGAAUUGACGGGGGCCCGCACAAGCAGUGGAGUAUGUGGUUUAAUUCGACGCAACGCGAAGAACCUUACCAAGUCUUGACAUCCGUUGACCGACAUAGAAAUAUGUUUUUCCUUCGGGACAGCGAGACAGGUGGUGCAUGGUUGUCGUCAGCUCGUGUCGUGAGAUGUUGGGUUAAGUCCCGCAACGAGCGCAACCCUUAUGGUCAGUUACUACGCAAGAGGACUCUGGCCAGACUGCCGUUGACAAAACGGAGGAAGGUGGGGAUGACGUCAAAUCAUCACGCCCUUUAUGACUUGGGCUACACACGUACUACAAUGGCGUUAAACAAAGAGAAGCAAGACCGCGAGGUGGAGCAAAACUCAGAGACAACGUCCCAGUUCGGACUGCAGGCUGCAACUCGCCUGCACGAAGUCGGAAUUGCUAGUAAUCGUGGAUCAGCAUGCCACGGUGAAUACGUUCCCGGGCCUUGUACACACCGCCCGUCACACCAUGAGAGCCGGGGGGACCCGAAGUCGGUAGUCUAACCGCAAGGAGGACGCCGCCGAAGGUAAAACUGGUGAUUGGGGUGAAGUCGUAACAAGGUAACCGUACUAGUACG
rnacentral:rRNA from 1 species